rnacentral:rRNA from 1 species
UACGAAGGGUGCAAGCGUUACUCGGAAUUACUGGGCGUAAAGCGUGCGUAGGUGGUGGUUUAAGUCUGUUGUGAAAGCCCUGGGCUCAACCUGGGAAUUGCAGUGGAUACUGGAUCACUAGAGUGUGGUAGAGGGAUGCGGAAUUUCCGGUGUAGCAGUGAAAUGCGUAGAGAUCGGAAGGAACAUCUGUGGCGAAGGCGGCAUCCUGGGCCAACACUGACACUGAGGCACGAAAGCGUGGGGAGCAAACAGG